CGUGUUUGCCAAUGUUGAACAUGAGUUCGUGGUAAUAUGGUCGCAUAUACACAGGUAUGAAGUGUAAUCAUCUACAAAUUCUGGCAUUGCGUUAUCUGCAAAUAUUGUGAUAAAAUAUUUGCUUAGCUGUGUGCUGAAAAUAGGUAAAUAAAAAUGUCAUAAAGAAACAUUUGAUUACCUACAUUUCAGAGUUUCCAAGUGGCUUCUGUACAGGAACCUUAAGUCCGAUGAAAGUUGCAGACCGUGUAAUGUUGACCAGUUAUCCAUAGUUAGAAAUCCACCUGACCAAGCCUAAGAUCCUGAGACUGAAAAAACAUAAGUUGCAAAAAUUUCUGAACACCGCAGUGCUAGGAAAAAUGAUGGAGUUUUGUUUUGUCAUCCAGGAAAUACUGAUAAUUCAUUACUCCUGAAAAGAAUUAACAGACCACUGGAAAGAAGAUGUUGAUUUUGUCCACCCUUGGAUAGGAGACAAAAGACUGAAUAGUAGACCAUGGAACACUGACUGGUUAUAUGUGGGUGGAAAUCUACUUGACCAUGGGAAAAGCUGACAAAUGUCCUGUGAAUGAGAAAAAACAAGCAAAGAUAUUUAGCAAAAGUGAUGUACUAAGGUAAAAUGUCAAUA